rnacentral:rRNA from 1 species
CUGCCAUUCCGCGUGAGUGAAGAAGGCCUUCGGGUUGUAAAGCUCUUUCGCAAGGGAAGAAAACUUAUGAUCGAAUAAAUCAUGAGGUUGACGGAACCUUGAUAAGAAGCACCGGCUAACUACGUGCCAGCAGCCGCGGUAAUACGUAGGGUGCGAGCGUUAAUCGGAAUUACUGGGCGUAAAGCGUGCGCAGGCGGUUUUGUAAGUCGGAUGUGAAAUCCCCGGGCUCAACCUGGGAACUGCGUUCGAAACUGCAAGGCUAGAGUGUGUCAGAGGGGGGUAGAAUUCCACGUGUAGCAGUGAAAUGCGUAGAGAUGUGGAGGAAUACCAAUGGCGAAGGCAGCCCCCUGGGAUAACACUGACGCUCAUGCACGAAAGCGUGGGGAGCAAACAGGAUUAGAUACCCUGGUAGUCCACGCCCUAAACGAUGUCAACUAGUUGUUGGUAGAGUAAAAUCUAUGAGUAACGUAGCUAACGCGUGAAGUUGACCGCCUGGGGAGUACGGUCGCAAGAUUAAAACUCACAGGAAUUGACGGGGGCCCGCACAAGCGGUGGAUUAUGUGGAUUAAUUCG